CUCCGCACAGCCUCUCGCCUCGGUGCCGGGCCGUCAGGAGCGCGCACGCAGGUCGCGGGCGCGCAGAGCACGCCGGGCCGUCGUAACCCCCCCACGCCCCAGCGGCGUGGUCUCGCGAGACUUGCGAGUAAACAUCCCCCGAAUGGAGACCCGAGGCGUGUUCGCGGCGGAGCCGCCGUUCUCCCGGGUCCGCCGACCCCGAGCCUGAGGCGGACGCAGGUCCGCUACAGAGCGGUGGAUUGGGCAUCCUGCUAGAUUUGGGUCUGUGGCGCAAAUGGAGUUUAGGACUCAGUGGACUCGGCCUCAAUGAGAGAAGCCCCUGUCCAAGAUGGAGAAGAAGCGGAGAAAGAAAUGAAAGCCUCUCUUUGGGCCAAACCGUGGGUGACCAUGGGACUGAGGUUUUCUUUAUGUUGGACAAGUCUGUAGGAUGGCUGAUCAGUAAGGCUGCAGCUUUUAGCCAGAACAGAAACCCACUUCUGAUCAAGGAAGAGCCUCGUGCGAUUUGAAUUUAUGCAAUUUUCUGACCAUAUUCACUGAGGACCAUGAAGCUCGUCAGCACCUGGCUUCUUGUGCUGGUGGUUUUGCUCUGUGGGAAACGGCACCUGGGCGACAGGCUGGGGACGAGAGCUUUGGAAAAGGCCCCGUGCCCCAGCUGCUCCCACCUGACUUUGAAGGUGGAAUUCUCUUCAACUGUGGUGGAGUACGAAUAUAUUGUGGCUUUCAACGGAUACUUCACAGCCAAAGCUAGAAACUCAUUUAUUUCAAGUGCUCUGAAAAGCAGUGAAGUGGAAAACUGGAGAAUAAUACCUCGGAACAACCCAUCCAGUGACUACCCUAGUGAUUUUGAGGUGAUUCAGAUAAAAGAGAAGCAGAAGGCGGGGCUGCUCACACUUGAAGAUCACCCCAACAUCAAGCGGGUGACACCCCAGCGGAAAGUCUUUCGUUCCCUCAAGUUUGCUGAAUCCAACCCCAUCGUGCCCUGUAAUGAAACCCGGUGGAGCCAGAAGUGGCAGUCAUCACGUCCCCUGAAAAGAGCCAGUCUCUCCCUGGGCUCUGGAUUCUGGCAUGCAACAGGAAGACAUUCAAGUCGGCGAUUGCUGAGAGCCAUUCCUCGCCAGGUCGCCCAGACACUGCAGGCAGAUGUGCUGUGGCAGAUGGGAUACACAGGUGCUAAUGUCAGAGUUGCUGUUUUUGAUACUGGGCUCAGUGAGAAGCAUCCGCAUUUUAAGAAUGUGAAGGAGAGAACCAACUGGACCAAUGAGCGGACCCUGGAUGAUGGGCUAGGCCAUGGCACAUUCGUUGCAGGUGUGAUUGCCAGCAUGAGGGAGUGCCAAGGAUUUGCUCCAGAUGCAGAGCUGCACAUCUUCAGGGUCUUUACCAACAAUCAGGUGUCUUACACAUCUUGGUUUCUGGAUGCCUUCAACUAUGCCAUCCUAAAGAAGAUGGACGUUCUCAACCUUAGCAUCGGUGGGCCCGACUUCAUGGAUCAUCCGUUUGUUGACAAGGUGUGGGAAUUAACAGCUAACAAUGUAAUUAUGGUUUCUGCUAUUGGCAAUGAUGGACCUCUCUAUGGCACUCUGAAUAACCCUGCUGAUCAGAUGGAUGUGAUUGGAGUGGGUGGCAUUGACUUUGAAGAUAACAUCGCUCGCUUUUCUUCCAGGGGAAUGACUACCUGGGAAUUACCAGGAGGCUAUGGUCGUGUGAAGCCUGACAUUGUCACCUAUGGUGCUGGAGUGCGGGGUUCCGGUGUGAAAGGGGGCUGCCGUGCACUCUCAGGGACCAGUGUCGCUUCCCCAGUGGUCGCUGGGGCCGUCACCUUGUUAGUAAGCACAGUACAGAAGCGGGAGCUGGUGAAUCCUGCCAGUGUGAAGCAAGCUUUGAUAGCGUCAGCCCGGAGACUUCCUGGGGUCAACAUGUUCGAGCAAGGUCAUGGCAAGUUGGAUCUGCUGCGAGCUUAUCAGAUCCUCAGCAGCUAUAAACCGCAGGCAAGCCUGAGUCCUAGCUACAUCGACCUGACUGAGUGUCCCUACAUGUGGCCCUACUGCUCCCAGCCUAUCUACUAUGGAGGAAUGCCAACAAUCGUUAAUGUCACCAUCCUCAAUGGCAUGGGCGUCACAGGAAGAAUUGUGGAUAAGCCUGAGUGGCGACCCUAUUUACCACAGAAUGGAGACAACAUUGAAGUGGCCUUCUCCUACUCCUCAGUGUUGUGGCCCUGGUCAGGUUACCUUGCCAUCUCCAUUUCUGUGACCAAGAAGGCAGCUUCCUGGGAAGGCAUCGCUCAGGGCCACAUCAUGAUCACAGUGGCGUCCCCAGCAGAGACAGAGUUACACAGUGGUGCGGAGCACACUUCCACCGUGAAGCUGCCCAUCAAGGUGAAGAUCAUUCCCACCCCUCCUCGGAGCAAGAGAGUCCUCUGGGACCAGUACCACAACCUCCGCUACCCACCUGGCUACUUCCCCAGGGACAACUUGCGGAUGAAGAAUGACCCUUUAGACUGGAAUGGCGACCACGUCCACACCAACUUCAGGGACAUGUACCAGCAUCUGCGCAGCAUGGGCUACUUCGUGGAGGUGCUCGGCGCCCCAUUCACAUGUUUUGACGCCACACAGUAUGGCACUUUGCUGCUGGUGGACAGUGAGGAAGAGUACUUCCCUGAGGAGAUUGCUAAGCUGAGGAGGGAUGUGGACAAUGGCCUUUCCCUCGUCAUCUUCAGUGACUGGUACAACACUUCUGUUAUGAGAAAAGUGAAGUUUUAUGAUGAAAACACCAGGCAGUGGUGGAUGCCAGACACCGGAGGAGCGAACAUCCCAGCUCUGAAUGAGCUGCUGUCUGUGUGGAACAUGGGGUUCAGUGACGGCCUAUAUGAAGGGGAGUUUGUCCUGGCAAACCAUGACAUGUACUAUGCGUCGGGGUGCAGCAUCGCCAAGUUUCCAGAAGAUGGCGUCGUGAUCACACAGACUUUCAAGGACCAAGGAUUGGAGGUCUUAAAACAAGAGACAGCAGUUGUGGAAAAUGUUCCCAUUUUGGGGCUUUAUCAGAUUCCAUCUGAAGGUGGAGGCCGGAUCGUGCUGUAUGGAGACUCCAACUGCUUGGAUGACAGUCACAGACAGAAGGGUAAGAAAAGAACACAUAGGAGGACUGCGACUGUAGCUCAGUGGCACAGCAGUUUGCCUCAGACAUGCGAGGCCCUGAGUUCAAUCCCCAGCAUGACCAGAAUAAGACGUUCAUGAGCUUGAAGAUUUGUGUACACAGCCCUCUUUCCGUUGUCCCUGGAAUGAUACUGGCCAGAAGCUGGAGAAUAAACAGACUGCUUUUGGCUUCUGGAUGCGCUCCUUCAGUACACAUCCUAUGGCGUGACCCCUCCCAGCCUCAGCCAUUCAGGGAACCGGCAGCGCCCACCUAGCGGAGCCGGCUUGGCCCCUCCUGAAAGGAUGGAAGGAAACCACCUCCAUCGGUACUCCAAAGUUCUUGAAGCCCACUUGGGAGACCCGAAACCUCGGCCCCUGCCAGCCUGUCCACAUUUGUCAUGGGCCAAGCCACAGCCUUUGAAUGAGACGGCACCCAGUAAUCUUUGGAAACAUCAGAAGCUGCUCUCCAUUGACCUGGACAAAGUAGUGUUACCCAACUUUCGAUCCAAUCGCCCUCAAGUGAGACCUUUGUCCCCUGGAGAGAGUGGUGCCUGGGACAUUCCUGGAGGGAUCAUGCCUGGCCGCUACAACCAGGAGGUGGGACAGACCAUCCCCGUCUUCGCCUUCCUCGGAGCCAUGGUGGCCCUGGCCUUCUUUGUGGUACAGAUCAGCAAGGCCAAGAGCCGGCCGAAGCGGAGGAGGCCCAGGGCAAAGCGUCCACAACUUGCACAGCAGGCCCACCCUGCAAGGACCCCAUCAGUGUGAGCAUCGCAGUAGCCAGCCACAGAAGCUAACAAGCCUUGAACCACUCUGGUGGCCACACAGCGCCUCAGAGAGCAUUCUGGGAAGUGCCUGUUUCCGAGGAACCCUGUCUCCAGCUUGUGGCUAUCUUACUGUGUUCUGCCCAGGCACCUGAUGAGGUACAUCCUGCAGUGCCUCUCUGUGCUUGGCUCUGGCAGAAGGCACCCAGUGACAUCAGGCAUCAGGCCCAGUGACAGUGCACCAAAGACACAGAGCCUGGAAGGGCUGUCGGGACAUACUUUCUACAUAACGCUACAACCCUGACCAAGCAAAGACAUGCUUGUUACAGGCUAUUUUCUAUAUUUAUUGUGGGAGAGUCACUUUAAAGACUGUGCUAGUUGGAAACAGAGCUGUUGCUGUUGUCAGUCGAGUGCAGUUUUCUGCAGCGAUGUCAUAAGGAGUCAGAUUCCGUGACCUCCUCUUUGAUGGAGGACACACUGAACUGAAGGGGACUUGCGCGGAUGUGGGAGAUGCAAGCCUUCGCUUUAUUUUUUUAUAACUAUCAACUGCCAUCAUGUUUUGUAAUUUGGGGAUCUUGAUUUCACCGUUGUUGGUGAAGGAAAUUUUCAAUAAAUAUGCAUAACCUUACAAA